CUCCUUCAAACCAUCUCUCCCUCCUUCGUAACUUUUCUUCUCCAUGUCCUUAACUCCUCUCUGACUUCCGGCACCUUCCCAUCUGCCUUCAAACAGGCCAGAGUUACCCCUCUACUCAAAAAACCCUCCCUUAACCCAGCCGUCCUCCAUAACUACAGACCAGUAUCACCACUAUCCUUUUCAAAAACAAUUGAACGCACUGUGUCUAACCAACUGUCAAACUUUCUCUCUCAGAACAACCUGCUUGACCCCAACCAAUCGUGCUUCAAGACUGGCCACUCCACAGAAACUGCCCUCCUGUCAGUCACCACUGCCCUCCAGUCUGCCAGAGCGGCCUCAAGGUCAUCCGUCAUCAUUCUGCUGGACCUUUCUUCAGCAUUUGAUACGGUUAACCAUCAGAUCCUGCCUGGUUAUUUAACAUUACAUUUACAUCUAGUCAUUUAGCAGACACUCUUAUGCCAAAGGACACAACGUCAUUUUGCACCAACAACCUUCUGAUUAAUAGCCCGACUCCCUAACCGCUCAGCCAUCUGACCCCAACAUUAAUAUGAGUUCCCCUAGCCUGCCUUUGGUCCCCCAGUGGCUAGACAUUUUGAUAUGUGUGAACCAAGCCCUGGGUAUUCUUAUCCACCUUUGAGAAAUGAAAGCUCAAACGCUGGGUUUUGAAAAUGUUUGUCUUAUGUCGUCAUAAGAGGGAAGGGUACCUCCCCUUUCUCUGCUUUGCCCGCCCAGAAAAUCUGGCCCGCCCAUGAGAAACUGAGCUAUGACUGUGCGAGUGUGAUAUCGUUUUUUCCUCGAGAGACAUCAUGGCUUGCAAACGAACGAAGCAUAACAGUUGCUCAGUGUUUGGAUGUACAAAUGAAAACCAAAGUAUUUUUUUGGUUCCUUCAUACAAGCCUCUGAAGAACCAGUGUCUUAAUUGUAUUUUCUCACGAAAUGCGCCGACACAACUUCCCAAAGUUUUGUAUGUCUGUGCCAAACAUUUCAGCAUUUCAAGAUGACUGUUUCCUCAACUUGGGCCAAUACAAAGCUGGCCUUGCUGACCGUCUGAAAUUCAAGUCUGGAUUAGUACCAACUCUCCUUGGUCCAGCUACAAACCUCGGACAAACACAUUACAGGUUAUGCUCCGGAAGAUGGAGACAUUGGAGGAGAACCAGCGAGAGGCUCUCCUAUUCAGGCGACUACAGGGCAGACACACUGCCAGUGCCAGUGAUGGACCUACAGGUGGCCCAAACACAGGCUGAACUCCAAGACGCCUUAAGCGAGGAGCGCCUUAAGGUGCUGGAGUUGCGAAAGAGAGUGACGCUGUAAAGAAGUGGAAGACGGGACUGGGAGAGAAAGCUGUGGAGCUCCUCAUAGAGGAGACACUCAAACACAACCCGGCAGCCCGUUCAAAACAAGCCAGGGCCAACAGACAGGACCUGUAGCGGGGACUGGCAGAAGAUUUUAAUUCACUGUUUGGCACUUUGUUUGAAAUAAAAUGACAAUGUUACAUGGAAA